rnacentral:lncRNA from 1 species
UAGUUCACUUCACUUUUCGAGGGAUCAUGGAUUCGAGUUCACUUGUCUAUGAGUGUAUGAACAACUUGAGAUCCUUCCAAGGUGCAGGGGUUCUCUCUCCAUUCACUUUGAGAUGGGUUUCUUGUGAUCUUUGUAGUAGUUUUUCCAUCCAAUUUUAUGGUAAAUUAAGUCUUACACAGCUAUCCCCAAGGAUGUCCAUUCCAU